ACGGUGUCUUCGGGCACAGUGGCGGACGGGUGAGUAACGCGUGAGAAUCUGGCUCUAGGUCUGGGACAACCACUGGAAACGGUGGCUAAUACCGGAUGUGCCCUUCGGGGUGAAAGAUUAAUUGCCUGGAGAUGAGCUCGCGUCUGAUUAGCUAGUAGGUGUGGUAAAGGCGCACCUAGGCMACGAUMAGUAACUGGUCUGAGAGGACGAUCAGCCACACUGGGACUGAGACACGGCCCAGACUCCUACGGGAGGCAGCAGUGGGGAAUUUUCCGCAAUGGGCGAAAGCCUGACGGAGCAAUACCGCGUGAGGGAGGAAGGCUCUUGGGUCGUAAACCUCUUUUCUCAGGGAAGAACACAAUGACGGUACCUGAGGAAUAAGCAUCGGCUAACUCCGUGCCAGCAGCCGCGGUAAUACGGAGGAUGCAAGCGUUAUCCGGAAUGAUUGGGCGUAAAGCGUCCGCAGGUGGCAAUGUAAGUCUGCUGUUAAAGAGUGAGGCUCAACCUCAUAAGAGCAGUGGAAACUACAUAGCUAGAGUACGUUCGGGGCAGAGGGAAUUCCUGGUGUAGCGGUGAAAUGCGUAGAGAUCAGGAAGAACACCGGUGGCGAAGGCGCUCUGCUAGGCCGUAACUGACACUGAGGGACGAAAGCUAGGGGAGCGAAU
rnacentral:rRNA from 1 species